rnacentral:rRNA from 1 species
CUCGUAGGCGGUUCGUCGCGUCCGGUGUGAAAGUCCAUCGCUUAACGGUGGAUCCGCGCCGGGUACGGGCGGGCUUGAGUGCGGUAGGGGAGACUGGAAUUCCCGGUGUAACGGUGGAAUGUGUAGAUAUCGGGAAGAACACCAAUGGCGAAGGCAGGUCUCUGAGCCGUUACUGACGCUGAGGAGCGAAAGCGUGGGGAGCGAACA